CAGCCGCCGCGGUAAUACGUAGGGGGCGAGCGUUGUCCGGAAUUAUUGGGCGUAAAGCGCGCGCAGGCGGUCCCUUAAGUCUGAUGUGAAAGCCCACGGCUCAACCGUGGAGGGUCAUUGGAAACUGGGGGACUUGAGUGCAGAAGAGGAGAGCGGAAUUCCACGUGUAGCGGUGAAAUGCGUAGAGAUGUGGAGGAACACCAGUGGCGAAGGCGGCUCUCUGGUCUGUAACUGACGCUGAGGCGCGAAAGCGUGGGGAGCAAACAGGAUUAGAUACCCUGGUAGUCCACGCCGUAAACGAUGAGUGCUAAGUGUUAGAGGGGUUAAACCCUUUAGUGCUGUAGCUAACGCGUUAAGCACUCCGCCUGGGGAGUACGGCCGCAAGGCUGAAACUUAAAGGAAUUGGCAGG
rnacentral:rRNA from 1 species